rnacentral:rRNA from 1 species
AUGAACGCUGGCGGCGUGCCUAAUACAUGCCCGUCGAGCGAACAGACGAGGAGCUUGCUCCUCUGACGUUAGCGGCGGACGGGUGAGUAACACGUGGAUAACCUACCUAUAAGACUGGGAUAACUUCGGGAAACCGGAGCUAAUACCGGAUAAUAUAUUGAACCGCAUGGUUCAAUAGUGAAAGACGGUUUUGCUUUCACUUAUAGAUGGAUCCGCGCCGCAUUAGCUAGUUGGUAAGGUAACGGCUUACCAAGGCAACGAUGCGUAGCCGACCUGAGAGGGUGAUCGGCCACACUGGAACUGAGACACGGUCCAGACUCCUACGGGAGGCAGCAGUAGGGAAUCUUCCGCAAUGGGCGAAAGCCUGACGGAGCAACGCCGCGUGAGUGAUGAAGGUCUUCGGAUCGUAAAACUCUGUUAUUAGGGAAGAACAAAUGUGUAAGUAACUAUGCACGUCUUGACGGUACCUAAUCAGAAAGCCACGGCUAACUACGUG